rnacentral:rRNA from 1 species
CCUACGGGAGGCAGCAGUGAGGAAUAUUGGGCAAUGGGCGCAAGCCUGACCCAGCAAUGCCGCGUGAAGGAAGAAGGCUUUCGGGUUGUAAACUUCUGUGACAGGGGAAGAGCAGAAGACGGAACCCGGAAAACAAGCCACGGCUAACGACGGGACAGCAGCCGCGGUAAUACGGAGGUGGCAAGCGUUGUCCGGAUUUACUGGGUGUAAAGGGCGGGUAGCCGGGAAGGCAAGUCAGAUGUGCAAUCUGGAGGCUCACCCUCCAAAUUGCAUUUGAAACUGUUUUUCUUGAGUACUGGAGAGGCAGCCGGCCUUCCUUUUGUAGCGGUGCAAUGCGUCUAUCUAAGGAGGAACCCCAGUGGCGAAGGCGGUCUGCUGGACCGCACCUGACGGUGAGGCGCGAAAGCGUGGGGAGCACACAGGAUUAGCUACCCUGGUAGUC